rnacentral:lncRNA from 1 species
GAAGUUUAGAUAUUUCCAUUUGUUUCAAUAUUAAGAGAGGACUGAUUUAGGUGUAUCUUCGUUCAAGAUGAUCUACAAAAAGACAAAAAAAAAAAAUGAUAAUGAUUGUAAAUCUUUUUUUUAAUAUCUCCUUUAUUAAGAGUUUGAUAAAUGAUAAUGAAUAGGAAGUCAUAUUAAAUAGAUGGUGUUAAAGGUUAUGACCACAUGCACGGUCCCCAAGAACAUCAUAUCAGACAAGACAAGAACAGUUAACGUGACAUGUCUGUCACUAAAAUAGAAUCCAAUGUUUGCUAAAAUACACAACCAUACAGUCUUACACAUACAAACACAUGAUCGAUCAACAAUCCAAGUUUGAACUCCACCCCACCCUACUCAACAAGUUCCACUGUUUAUCUAUCUCUAGUCUCUACCUAUAUUUUUUAUUUAAGACCCAUCAUAUAUUAAAGAGGUAAAAUAGUUUUUACAGUAAAAUAAAUAAGUGACAUAAAAUUAAAUUUUACUCCAGAUGUUCCAGCAUGGGUUGUUGUGAUUUUGGAACUUGAGGUGAAUGGUCUGGAUUUUGAUUUUAGCACCUCCACAUCUGAUAGAGUAGGAUUCCAAACUGCGCCCAGAUUAUGCCACCUUGAUUUGCUAGAGUCACUGCAAAAUUUGAAACAAAUAUAAACCGUUGUUGGAAAAAAUUCUCGUUUUCUCUUGAUUUAUAAGCUUAAUUUUUGUUUCCAGUAAUUCCACAAUAGAUAUGUUUGUGCUUAAAGCUGAGAGCCACUAUCUCCUUUUUCCUCUUUCCCCUAUUCAUCCCUCUCACAUUCCAUACCAGUAGGAUCAUGUCGAGGGUAGGCGCAACUCCUGAUAGUGGAUUUUGAUCACUCCUGAGCAGCUACAGCUUUCUUAUCAGUUGCAAUUGCCUUGGACUUCUUUUUCUUCUUCGCUAUUUGGAGGACCCGUGAGAAGUUCAGAGAAUUAUGUUGCCUCUGCCUGUUGGUCGUGAGCCAAUGAGCCAUCUGAAAAGAAUAAGGCCGAGAGAUGAAAUUGUUCGGGGAGAAGAGAAAGAGAGGAAGAUGGACAGACACUCACCCGGAGGAUGAGGGUGUCCCAAGGACCGCCGGCAUACCUCCAUUUUUUCCCAUCUUCUUCUUCCUGCUUUACAACUACCAUAUGAAAGAAGAAAAAUUACCUGGUGGGUAGAUCUGUGUGAAUCUUGCUUGGAAAUUGGAAUGGUGAAUGAUGAUGGAGUGUGAAGUAAUUGGAUGAAUCGCCGAUAUAUAUUAAGAACCAACCUCUGCUAUCUAUCGAAAGGCGUAAAAACGACUCUCUUGUUUGGAAGAACGUCAUGAAACAAAGCCGCAUCAAGUAGAAUUAAUGAACUACUUUAAACUCAAUUUUAAUUAGAUAUCUAUAUUGAUUGAUACAUCAUUCAUAAAAUAUCUUAUAAUUUUUUAAGGGAACAACGAAUCAUAUCUUGGAAAAAACAUAUGGUCGAAACCAUUUUAAUUAAUCAAAAUUGCCUUAACAAAAAAAGAACUUUAAUGAUUAUGAUAAACUUUGUUUGGGCCUUAGCCCCUCUCCUCUCUUUUUAAGAA